GACGAACGCUGGCGGCGUGCUUAACACAUGCAAGUCGAACGGAAAGACCCUGCUUUUGUGGGUUGCUCGAGUGGCGAACGGGUGAGUAACACGUGAGUAACCUGCCCUUGACUUUGGGAUAACUUCAGGAAACUGGGGCUAAUACCGGAUAGGAGCUCCUGCUGCAUGGUGGGGGUUGGACAGUUUCGGCGGUUGGGGAUGGACUCGCGGCUUAUCAGCUUGUUGGUGGGGUAGUGGCUUACCAAGGCUUUGACGGCUAGCCGGCAUGAGAGGGUGACCAGGCCCAUGGCGACUGAGAGACGGACCAGACGCCUACGGGAGGCAGCAGUGGGGAAUAUUGCACAAUGGGCGGAAGCCUGAUGCAGAAACGUCGGGUGCGGGAUGAGGGCUUUCGGGUUGUAAACCGCUUUCGGCUGUGACGAAGCGUGAGUGACGGUAAUGGGUAAAGAAGCACCGGCUAACUACGUG
rnacentral:rRNA from 1 species